CAAUAGCGUAUAUUAAAGCUGUUGCGGUUAAAAAGCUCGUAGUUGGAUUUCUGUCAAGGACAACUGGUCCGCCCUCCGGGUGAGCACAUAGUUUGGUCUUGGCAUCUUGCUGGAAGCUGUUGCUGCACUUGGCUGUGUGGCGCAGCGUCAAGCACUUUCACUUUGAGGAAAUUGGAGUGUUUCAAGCAGGCACAUGCCUUUGGACACAGUAGCAUGGAAUAAUUAGAUUGGGCUUUUGCUCCAAUUUGUCGGUUACUGGAGCUGAGGUGAGAAUUAAUGGGGAUUGUUGGGGGCAUCCGAAUUUAGCCGUCAGAGGUGAAAUUCUUGGAUCUGCUAAAGACGGACAACUGCGAAAGCGUUUGCCCAGGAUGUUUUCAUUGA
rnacentral:rRNA from 1 species